UACGUAGGGUGCAAGCGUUAAUCGGAAUUACUGGGCGUAAAGCGUGCGCAGGCGGUUAUGCAAGACAGAUGUGAAAUCCCCGGGCUUAACCUGGGAACCGCAUUUGUGACUGCAUAGCUGGAGUACGGCAGAGGGGGAUGGAAUUCCGCGUGUAGCAGUGAAAUGCGUAGAUAUGCGGAGGAACACCGAUGGCGAAGGCAGUCCCCUGGGCCUGCACUGACGCUCAUGCACGAAAGCGUGGGGAGCAAACAGG
rnacentral:rRNA from 1 species